CGAAGGGGGCGAGCGUUGUUCGGAAUUACUGGGCUUAAAGCGUGCGUAGGCGGAUCAGCAAGUUGGGAGUGAAAUCCCCGGGCUUAACCCGGGAAUUGCUUUCAAAACUGCUAGUCUAGAAUCCGGUAGAGGUUAAUGGAAUAUCCAGUGUAGAGGUGAAAUUCGCAGAUAUUGGAUGGAACACCAGUGGCGAAGGCGAUUAACUGGGCCGGUAUUGACGCUGAGGUACGAAAGCGUGGGUAGCAAACAGGAUUAGAUACCCUGGUAGUCCACGCUGUAAACUAUGUGUGCUAGCUGUCGGAGUCCUUAGGGCUUCGGCGGCGGAGAGAAAUCAUUAAGCACACCGCCUGGGGAGUACGGCCGCAAGGUUA
rnacentral:rRNA from 1 species